ensembl:lncRNA
GCGAUAGCGUCACCAUCACCUGACCGUCCAGAGACAGUUAUCGAUCAACACAGACAGGAGUGCAACUGUGCAAUGUAAAAAAGGAAACAACACCAAGGAAACAAAGUACCCUCAAAGUUUGCCAUCUGAGAUGGAUACUCGUCUCAGCAAAAGGGCACAUGGGGUGAUGAAGGCUGAGGAAGCUAAGGAAGUAGAGGAGGAGAUGAACAAGGAACAGACAGAAGAUGAGACAGAGGUCCCUAUUCGAAGAUAUAAGAAAAAGAAGCCAGUCAAAUAUUCCCCGAAAAAACAGAGUGAGUCUUGUUAUUCUUUUAAUAUAUAUUUUUUUACUACAUUCACCUACAAGUCUUGAAAUUAAGUUUUGGCUGUAACUUUUAAGUCUGUCACUUGAACUAGCUACGUCUGCAGCAGAUUUCUAAUCUGUGUUCACUUUACUUAUUUAUAGUCAAUUGGUCAUUUAUGGUCAUUUGGUCACUGACUAAAGUAAUAAAUAUUUAAUAGAAUGAUCGCUGCCCCUGUUGCAGUGUCUCCAACAGGGGCAUUGGAGUUGGCCAAACUGAAAGAACAAAAUAAGAUGGAUCGGCAGAAGAUUGAACACCUUGAGGACCGCAUUAAGUACCUGGAGGAGGCCAACAGGGAUCUAAAAAAUGACAAGGACUUCUUACUUUCCCAAAUUAAGGGAGCCACCAACACACCUGCAUCUACUGGGAAAGGCUCUGGAAAGACUGCUCUGGAACCUGCUUCAUCUUCAACCUCGACAUCCCCCUGUCCUUCCUCAGACUCCAGCUUCUCAUCAUCCUCAGAAGAAGAGGAAAAGAAGAAAAAGAAAAAGAAGACCAAGAAGUCCAAAAAACACCCUGAUUCUCAUAGCCGGUUCAGGCAUUGAUCAUCUUUUUGAUCAAAUGCUUUUCAACUGUAAAGUUGACGAUUACUUAACUGCCCUCAUAUUUGUUAUAAAAGCAAUUACUCAGCAAUUACAGAGAGAUGUACAGCUUUUUAAUUCUCCGCAGGUUAUUAUGUGCUCUAAUCUGGUUUUGUUAGAUAUUUAACCUGUGAAACAAAUAAGAAAAAAUCUACUUACUGUACCAUUAGGUUCACAGUGCAAGGUGGUUAUGUUUUGUACAGCUUCAGAGGCAGGUAAGCGAGGACAUUACUUGUUGGGCAUCCUUCUUCCAUGCUGGUCAUGGCAACUAUUGCUAGCUACAGAGGCAGGUACGAAAGGAGCUAAAUCUAAUAGAACAAGCCUAGAAGGAGGAUGCACAUUAAACCAGCAGUAGGAUAAGUGGGAUUAUUUCUCAUUUGAUAGUAUUACAGUACCUUUAGGGUGCCCAAUCAGCAAUGCCAAUGCAUGUCUGAAUUAAGAUGCCUUUUUUGUUUGUUUUUGUGACCAGUGACCACAACGGAUGGAGUUAUCCGCCGCUACAAGAAUGUCCUGUCCAUAUUCAAUUAGCAUGGAUCCAUGAAAAAGGCCUUCGCCAAAAUUAACGUCGACCGCAACACAGCUGUGAUUGCUGAACUAGCGAUCACAUUUCCAGACACCUUCAAGGACCUGCUUCCAUGAGAUGAAGCUAAUGAGAAGAUGUCUGCAUUUGCAGAGCGUUGCAGGGGAGCUAUAACACAGGAGAUGGCUGAAUUUAUCACAGCAAAGAAAAAAAGUGGAAAACUCCUCCCAAUAGUGUAUAAAUACACUUAAGAGUGUUCAUUUAUGUUGAUGUUAAAUGACACUGUUUAUGUAACAACAGUUCCUUUUGUUCAAAUGUUUGUGUUCAAAUACAGCAAGG